CGUGUAGGCGGUUGGUUAAGUCGGAUGUGAAAGCCUGGGGCUCAGCCCCAGAAGUGCAUCCGAAACUAUCCGGCUAGAGCGCGAUAGAGGAGGGUGGAAUUCCUGGUGUAGCGGUGAAAUGCGUAGAUAUCAGGAGGAACACCGGCGGCGAAGGCGGCCCUCUGGAUCGUUGCUGACGCUGAGACGCGAAAGCGUGGGGAGCAAACAGGAUUAGAUACCCUGGUAGUCCUAGCCCUAAACGAUCAGGACUUGGGGUGCCGCCCGUUCGGGCGUCGUCCCGGAGCUAACGCGUUAAGUCCUGCACCUGGGGAGUACGGUCGCAAGACUGAA
rnacentral:rRNA from 1 species